rnacentral:lncRNA from 1 species
GCAGACCAUUUGGAAACAAAAUACUGCUUAGAAAAGAUUCGAAGAUCUCCUGUUAGCUGCACAUACUCUGCAUAGUUCAUAAAGCAAGGCGGCCUUGUUUAGUAGUAGUUACUCUCAAUGUACAAACAUCCGUUAAAUAACUCGAACAAAAUUAAUGUCCACAUUCAAAUGUUUAGUCCUAAGUCUUGUUACAAAUAGGACUUUAAGUCAGUCAAAACCCAUCACUACAGUUGACACCCAAGAACUCUUGAGUGCACAACCUUGUCCUCAGAGAAAUACUAUAUCAGCACUAGAUUGUGUUGCCAAACUCUGUACAAACUCUCUGCUAUAACAGGUGUAAUAAUAGUUUACAACACUGAUUCCAUUAAAAUUAUUUUUAUUGAGAAGGCAUUUUUUAAACUUUUUAUUUUUUCAUUUUUUGGAUUUGUAGAAAAGUUGCAGGGUAGCACAGAGUGAAUUUGGUACUAAAGCAGUGUCUCCACUUCGAAAGCAGCACUCCUGUUUGUGCCAGCCAUCAUUCUAGGUGCUGGAAAAGAUGGUUUUGAGAUCUGGUUUAGAGACAGCUAUUUUAAGGUGUUUUGAAACCUCAAAGCCUAUCUGCAGUGACACACCUCUGAAGUGGCAACUUAAAAGUUCUUUGGAAAUCAGUUGUGUUAGAUGGUGUUUUGCUAAGGCAGACUCGUGAAGGAAUGUUUAGCCGAAGCAGACACAGGUGAAAGGAGGUUCUGCUAAACAAGCACGUGAAAGGACAUGUGAUGAAGGAUUCUUCACUAAUGACACACAUACAUGUAAUGGCACACCUCACAUUUCGUAGUUGAACUCCAUUUGUUAGGACUCCAUGAGAGAAACUCCACAAAUGUGCCAGUUUGUCUUACUUCCUUGCACCCAGGAUGGUUAACAGAUUAUGUCCGCUGAGACAGACCUGUGGAGGACACAUGAUGCUUGGAGGGUAUAAAUAGGCCCACUAGGCAGUGACUAAGGCUAAGCUUGACUUGCUUACAUAGCUAAACGGUUCUUGGUCUCGAGUCUUCGUUUUUGCUGAGAGAGGCACUGCAGAGAACUUCUGUCAUUCCUGCUGUUCUCUCCUACUGACUUGUGCUGAUUUGGCUGAGGCCUGGCCCUUGCUGCUAGGUCGUGCCACCGCUACUACUAUCUGGAGACUGCCGAACUAACUCUACUGGUGCACCCAUGAAGUGUUUACCAGUGGAUUGAGCUGCCAUUACUGACCUGUGAACUAAACUAUGGAUUGCCAGACAGCACAGAUGGAAGAUGCUCAAAUGAACCAUUUCUUUUUCUAAACAGCUCCACUGUCCCAUAUCCUUUCUCUUCUACCACCCCCAGUAGGUGGCAGACUAGAAGAGAGCUUAAAACAUUUGGAAACCCUCAUUAAAAGUAGGCUUUGAAAAAAUUAAAGUUACAUAUGUCUUCCAACAAG